rnacentral:lncRNA from 1 species
GAAGUUUAUUCGAAAGGGUAACGUAACAGGUCGGAGGGAUUGUUUUAAGAUUAAGUUGUUGUGAAAAAAAACCAUAAAACGAGCUUAUUAUAAUUUCUAUUCUUGCGAAAGUGGUAUCAAAAGUUUUGGAAAAUGACAAGCUUUCAUAAUUUUACAGUAUCACGGAUAAAUUCUUUAGUUUUCGGGAUUUUGGCUAGUUUUAUUAUUCUAACAUCAUUUCUAACAUCAAUCACGCGUUUUGUAGGUUAUGUUUGUUUGUUGGGGCACAUUUCGACUUUCGAGAUAUCGAACCACCAAUAUCGCUCCGUGACGUCACCACUAAAAUCGUCUAUAACUGGAAUGCCUCACAACCUCCCGUGACGCAGCGGGGGGCUCCGCGACCCGACGCGACGCGGACCGCGCCAUGGCGUCGGCGCACUUCCUUCCCCUCCGAGACCGGCCAAGAGGGGAACCCCAUCGCAGGUAGUCGCACACAAAGCCUCUCGACAUUGCUCCCCGUCGUGCAACGCCCAACGACGAGGGUCCAACACUCAACAGAUCAGUUCAGUUUCCCGCGUCCCUUGUAACGAUCCGCUUGUGCCUGGCCCUGCGUCCUGAACUCCUGAGCUUUAAGAGAGUGCACCCGGUGUUUCCACCAUGAGCGAGAGUAGUAUCGACCCCGAAGAGAUCAUAGCUUUGGUGAAGGAGCGACCCCCUCUGUACGAUACGAAUCUGAAGGAGUACUAUUGUCAAGACAUCAUUAACCAGUUGUGGUCCGAAGUAGCGAUGGCUUUGAAUUGUCCCGUAAAAACGGACUCGAAAACCCCGAGGGAUGAAUGCGGGGUCGAAUUAACUCCUCGAGGAGUGCACUCUGCUCUUACAGAGCGGAUCUUACUUGUUAUUUACAUCCAUGGACGGCUCGAGACAUUUCGAACGAGGUGAGCAUAAGGGAGGUUUUCUCCAAAAUUUUAAAGAUCCAAGAUGCAGUUUGAGUUAAUUCCGCGAUGUAUCAUUACGUUAUAAUUUACUAUAUUAUGUGUAUUUAUGUAUGAAUAUUUGUCACUGGGGGGCAGCGCCGAAUGGCACCUCCGCGGCCGGAACCCUGGG